GAUAUAGAUAGAAAGUGGGGGUUUCCUUUUGUUUGUUUGUUUUUAACAUAUUUAUUUUAUCUUUUGGCCGUGGUGAGUCUUCAUGAUGCAGGUGGGCUUACCCCCAUCAGUUGUAGCCAGUCUUCCACUUAAAGGAGACUGGGGACAUAGUAGGUACCAGGUGGAAUUCACUUUCCGGCAAAAGUGGUGAUUGGAUGCUACGGGCUUCCCAGGACAGCAAGGGGAGAGUUUCUGGUUUCUGUUGCCCAGUUCUGAGGACAAGAGAACUGGAAAAUGUAUUCAGAACAGUGUCAGCAUCAGCGAGGCCACGGGUCGGUUUCAGGAAGGGCUGAUCUUUAGCUCCUGUCACCUACUGUGGCCAGUUGGAUUUGCUCUCUGUCCUGCUAACAGAGCACAUGGACACCAAGCAAGGGAUCUGCUGCGGCAGGUGGCCAGAGCCCCAGGCCGUCCUCUAGACUGCUGACAUGUGUGGUUUGAACUCCUUUGCCCAAACACAGACUAAAUGAUAAAAUACAUAUCAGUGUGGGCUACCUGGUAUUUUUCUCUGUCAUCUUUGUAAUCAAGCAUGAUUGAAGAAGCACGAAGUAGCAGGUGGCCCACACAGCGUCACCAGCUGCACAUGCUGGGCCUGUGCUUUCAAAGAUUUGCUGCAGAUUCCGGAAUCCAUCUUCCCACCGUGGGACAGGACUUGUCACAAAUAGCUUGGAUUUAUGGAUGUGCUUCUGCUGCAGAAAUCGUUUCACCUUUUGAGGUUUUCUAUAAGAAUUUCAACUUCCCGGUUUCCACUUCUGAGAUCCACCUUUUAAAAAAGUAAAUCAUUAAUUGAUCUUCCGGUGUUUGGACCAUGCCCAUGGCAGCAUUGUGGAGCAUGUAGGUGAAUGCUACAAUUUAGAGGCAAUUCAGAAGCAAUUCAAUCAACUUAUCUCUUUAAACACACUCCUACACCUCUGUGUACUCUCCUACACAU
ensembl:lncRNA